GAUGAACGCUGGCGGCGUGCCUAACACAUGCAAGUCGAACGAGGUAUUUUUGAUUGAAGUUUUCGGAUGGAUUUCAAGAUACCGAGUGGCGGACGGGUGAGUAACGCGUGGGUAACCCUGCCUCAGUACAGGGGGAUAACAGUUAGAAAUGACUGCUAAUACCGCAUAAGACCACGGUACCGCAUGGUACAGUGGUAAAAACUCCGGUGGUAUGAGAUGGACCCGCGUCUGAUUAGGUAGUUGGUGGGGUAACGGCCUACCAAGCCGACGAUCAGUAGCCGACCUGAGAGGGUGACCGGCCACAUUGGGACUGAGACACGGCCCAGACUCCUACGGGAGGCAGCAGUGGGGAAUAUUGCACAAUGGAGGAAACUCUGAUGCAGCGACGCCGCGUGAAGGAUGAAGUAUUUCGGUAUGUAAACUUCUAUCAGCAGGGAAGAAAAUGACGGUACCUGACUAAGAAGCCCCGGCUAACUACGUG
rnacentral:rRNA from 1 species